UGAGAAUGUCAUUAGACUUCUGAUUGAAAAACUUUGUAAAGAUUUUCAUUGGAUUAGUGUUGUCUUU
rnacentral:pre_miRNA from 1 species